UUUGUUACAGCAGACUAAGCUAAGACACCUAGAUUUUCCUCACGGGUUCCUAUCUUCAAAGACAGCCCAGUACUAGAAAACCAGAACAUCAUCUAAAUUGCACCGGCGAAGUAUAGGUGCCCAAGACAGUGCCAGUGGAAUGAGGCCAUGUGGACCAGUCAAAAGUACAAAACGAAUGACCCCUCUUCAGUAGUUAGCAGGAGUAAAACCCUCCAGUUGGGACAUACUUGGUUCCAGUGAACUUACACCGGAGGUUGGGGAGGUUGGGGCAUGUUUCAAACCGAACAAUGCUCUUUACAAAUAAAGCACUUGAACCAUCA